UUAGAGUUUGAUCCUGGCUCAGGGUGAACGCUAGCGAUAGGCCUAACACAUGCAAGUCGAGGGGCAGCACAUGACGUAGCAAUACAGACGGUGGCGACCGGCGCACGGGUGAGUAACGCGUAUGCAACCUACCUUCCACAGGAGGAUAACCCGUUGAAAGACGGGCUAAUACUCCAUAACACAGGGGUCCCGCAUGGGAAUAUUUGUUAAAGAUUUUUUCGGUAGAAGAUGGGCAUGCGUUCCAUUAGUUAGUUGGUUGAGGUAACGGCUCACCAUAGCAAUGAUGUCUAGGGGUUUUGAGAGGAAGGCCCCCCACACUGGGACUGAGACACGGCCCAGACUCCUACGGGAGGCAGCAGUGAGGAAUAUUGGACAAUGGAUGGAAAUCUGAUCCAGCCAUGCCGCGUGCAGGAAGACGGCCUUAUGGGUUGUAAACUGCUUUUAUACGGGAGCAAUAAGGGUUACGAGUAAUCCGAUGAGAGUACUGUAUGAAUAAGGAUCGGCUAACUCCGUGCCAGCAGCCGCGGUAAUACGGAGGAUCCGAGCGUUAUCCGGAAUUAUUGGGUUUAAAGGGUGCGUAGGCGGCCAUUUAAGUCAGCGGUGAAAUUUUGCAGCUUAACUGUAACAGUGCCGUUGAUACUGUUUGGCUAGGAUUUGGUUGUAGUGUGCGGAAUGUGUGGUGUAGCGGUGAAAUGCUUAGAUAUCACACAGAACACCGAUUGCGAAGGCAGCACACUAAGUCAUUAUUGACGCUGAGGCACGAAAGUGUGGGGAUCAAACAGGAUUAGAUACCCUGGUAGUCCACACUGUAAACGAUGAUAACUCGCUGUCGGCGAUACACAGUCGGUGGCCAAGCGAAAGCAUUAAGUUAUCCACCUGGGGAGUGCGACCGCAAGGUUGAAACUCAAAGGAAUUGACGGGGGCCCGCACAAGCGGAGGGACAUGUGGUUUAAUUCGAUGAUACGCGAGGAACCUUACCUGGGUUUAAAUGGGGAGUGACAGGCUUGGAAACAGGCCCUUCUUCGGACACUCUUCAAGGUGCUGCAUGGUUGUCGUCAGCUCGUGCCGUGAGGUGUCGGGUUAAGUCCCGCAACGAGCGCAACCCCUAUUGUUAGUUGCCAUCAUUAAGUUGGGCACUCUAGCGAGACUGCCCGGGUUAACCGGGAGGAAGGUGGGGAGGACGUCAAAUCAUCAUGCCCCCUAUGUCUAGGGCUACACACGUGCUACAAUGGUCGGUACAAUAAGACGCAAGCCCGCGAGGGGGAGCAAAACUGGAAAACCGAUCUCAGUUCGGAUUGUAGGCUGAAACUCGCCUACAUGAAGCUGGAGUUGCUAGUAAUCGCGAAUCAGCAUGUCGCGGUGAAUAAGUAACCGGGCCUUGCACACACCGCCCGUCA
rnacentral:rRNA from 1 species